rnacentral:rRNA from 1 species
UUUAGACGAGAGUUUGAUCCUGGCUCAGGAUGAACGCUGGCGGCGUGCCUAACACAUGCAAGUCGAGCGAAGCGCUUGAAUCUGAUUCUUCGGAUGAGGAUUCUUGUGACUGAGCGGCGGACGGGUGAGUAACGCGUGGGCAACCUGCCUUACACAGGGGGAUAACAGUUAGAAAUGACUGCUAAUACCGCAUAAGACCGCAGUACCGCAUGGUACAGCGGUAAAAACUCCGGUGGUGUAAGAUGGGCCCGCGUCUGAUUAGGUAGUUGGCGGGGUAACGGCCCACCAAGCCGACGAUCAGUAGCCGACCUGAGAGGGUGACCGGCCACAUUGGGACUGAGACACGGCCCAGACUCCUACGGGAGGCAGCAGUGG